UUCUCAGCAUAAACGUGACCGGUGAUGCAAAUGGCAAAUGUACAAAUUCUCAUAUUGCCCAAUUAACAGGUGAGGUAAGACUGGAACAAUUUGACGUCUCAGGAACAUGUGUCAAUGGAUAUACAUAAUGACCUUGACUCGGAGAACAUCUUGAAAAAGCAGUGUUUCGAGAUGAUUGCAUAUGAGAUUGACAUCCGAAAGGAGGCUCGUGUUUUAUCUUUAGACACACUUUUGGAUACCGGAAGUCCUAUCAGCUUCAUUAAGGAGAGUCAAGUACCAACGAAGAGUUUGCCGCCAUGUCCUUCUUAUUUGCUUCAGGAUUACACUGGAAUUAAUAUCAGCGUAUUAGUAGGAUUUGUAACAGCAAAGAUGCACCAAGAUGUAAAAAGGGCUUUGAGAUAUUAAAUAUUACUGCAAUACCUGGACAACAUACCAAUCUUCGUUGUGAAGUGGAAGCUGAUCCUACAGAUGACAUUAAAUUUGCUUGGACUCACAACAACACAAGAGGAGACAUUUUGCCUGUCAGGAUUUCUCGUGUAAUGCAUAAAAACAAGACUAUAAGUACGAUAAAUUUUAAACUAGACACCAACAGUGAUUUUGAAACUCUUGCUUGUUGGGCUAGUAACAGUGUAGGACGCCAGAAAUCGCCAUGCAUUUUUAAUAUUGAAAAUCCAAAACGUCCUCAGCCUCCAAUGAAUUGUACAUUUUAUAAAGAUUUGAAUUCGUUAGUUGUUAAUUGUAAUCCUGGGUCAGGAAAAGGUUCAGCUCAACAUUUUGUACUGGAUGUUCGAGAGACAAUUCUUGGUAAUCAACCUAUGCAAACACGACAAAUGUUACUAACACCUCAAAGAGAUCAAGAGGCUUUUGAAGAAACACAUUCAAUUUAUAGAGAAAGAAACAUUCUACCAAACUUUCAGUUACGUGAUUUGAAACCUGGACUUGAAUAUACAAUAUUUAUUUACGCAGAAAAUGAUCAGGGGAAAAGUAAACCAAUUGUUAUGAAGAAUGUUAAACUAAUAAAUUUAAUUGACCCAACGCUCAACAACGAUGUUAUAUAUAUGAAAGAUUUAAAAAGUGUGAUGCAAAGUACAAACUCUGUUAGCUCCAUAUUUAUUACGGUACUAAUAGGUGUUUCUUCUCUUGUCUUGAUUACUCUCGGUUGGUUUAUUGUUUUGACUGUUUGGAAGAAAAAGAGAAGAGAGCCAUUAAAUGAAGGUCCAGAUGAUUUCACUACACCUACUCAUGUACUUGUUAAAAAAAUGGAACCGAAGAUGAGAUACAAUUGCGAUAGAAAGCGACAGAGAACAAGCCUCUACGUUGAAGAAAAUCGAAAUGUUUUUUGACAGAUUCAGAAUGAACCAUUUAAAAUGGACAAUUUUGACACUCGUCAUUCAAAAUUUGAUAUUUUUCUGCAAAUUUUAAGUGGUAUUUCAACGAUUUUCGUUCAAACUGAAGAUGGGAAGCAUGGUGGUAAAGUUGAGAAAGAAUGCCCCCUAAAAAACAUGCAGUUUUGAAGCUUAAAUAUUGUUAUUAUCCUGACAUUCUUCAACAAAUAGAACUCGAUGUUCAAGUGUAGUUACUAAUGUUACUUUCAAAUUAAAAGGAAAAGGUAUAUUACAUGUGACACCUUUUUACAUAAUUACAAUGUAAUAAGUAAAUAUGUUAUUUAAAUAGUUAUUUAUUUAGUGAAGUGGAAUUGAUAAGUAUACUUAUUUCUAUAAUAAAUUAACGUAAUAAUACAGUUUUUAAAUCAAAAUGUAU